rnacentral:rRNA from 1 species
CCUACGGGCGGCAGCAGUGGGGAAUAUUGCACAAUGGGGGAAACCCUGAUGCAGCGACGCCGCGUGAGGGAAGAAGUAUUUCGGUACGUAAAGCUCUAUCAGCAGGGGAGAAAAUGACGGUACCUGACUAAGAAGCCCCGGCUAACUACGUGCCAGCAGCCGCGGUAAUACGUAGGGGGCACGCGUUAUCCGGAUUUACUGGGUGUAAAGGGAGCGUAGCCGGCAGCGCAAGUCUGGAGUGAAAUACCAUGGCUUAACCAUGGAACUGCUUUGGAAACUGUGCAGCUAGAGUGCAGGAGAGGUAAGCGGAAUGCCUAGUGUAGCGUUGAAAUGCGUAGAUAUUAGGAGGAACACCAGUGGCGAAGGCGGAUUGCUAGACUGUAACUGACACUGAGGCACGAAAGCGUGGGGAGCAAACAGGAUUAGAUACCCUAGUAGUC